CAGGCCUAACACAUGCAAGUCGAGCGCUUGGGGUGUUCCCUUACGGGAAACCCCCUGGAGCGGCGGACGGGUGAGUAACACGUAGGCAACCUGCCUGUAAGAUCGGGAUAACUACCGGAAACGGUAGCUAAGACCGGAUAGCUGGUUUCUCCGCAUGGGGGAAUCAUGAAACACGGGGCAACCUGUGGCUUACGGAUGGGCCUGCGGCGCAUUAGCUAGUUGGUGGGGUAAUGGCCCACCAAGGCGACGAUGCGUAGCCGACCUGAGAGGGUGAUCGGCCACACUGGGACUGAGACACGGCCCAGACUCCUACGGGAGGCAGCAGUAGGGAAUCUUCCGCAAUGGGCGCAAGCCUGACGGAGCAACGCCGCGUGAGUGAUGAAGGUUUUCGGAUCGUAAAGCUCCGUUGCCAAGGAAGAACGCCUCGGAGAGUAACUGCUCUGAGGGUGACGGUACUUGAGAAGAAAGCCCCGGCUAACUACGUGCCAGCAGCCGCGGUAAUACGUAGGGGGCAAGCGUUGUCCGGAAUUAUUGGGCGUAAAGCGCGCGCAGGCGGUCUUUUAAGUUUGGUGUUUAAGCCCGGGGCUCAACCCCGGUUCGCACUGAAAACUGGGAGACUUGAGUGCAGGAGAGGAAAGCGGAAUUCCACGUGUAGCGGUGAAAUGCGUAGAGAUGUGGAGGAACACCAGUGGCGAAGGCGGCUUUCUGGACUGUAACUGACGCUGAGGCGCGAAAGCGUGGGGAGCAAAC
rnacentral:rRNA from 1 species